GACGAACGCUGGCGGCGUGCUUAACACAUGCAAGUCGAACGGAAAGGCCAGUGCUUGCACUGGUGCUCGAGUGGCGAACGGGUGAGUAACACGUGGGUGAUCUGCCUUGCACUCUGGGAUAAGCUUGGGAAACUGGGUCUAAUACCGGAUAGGAACCGUCCUUAGUGUGGUGGUUGGAAAGUUUUUUCGGUGCAAGAUGAGCUCGCGGCCUAUCAGCUUGUUGGUGGGGUAAUGGCCUACCAAGGCGUCGACGGGUAGCCGGCCUGAGAGGGUGUACGGCCACAUUGGGACUGAGAUACGGCCCAGGCGCCGACGGGAGGCAGCAGGGGGGAAGAUUGCACCAUGGGCGGAAGCCGGAUGCAGCGACGCCGCGGGGGGGAUGACGGCCUUCGGGUUGUAAAAUCCCUUCGACAGGGACGAAGCGUUAUGUGACGGUACCUGUAGAAGAAGCACCGGCUAACUACGUG
rnacentral:rRNA from 1 species